rnacentral:misc_RNA from 1 species
GAUGAAGAACGUAGCGAAAUGCGAUACUUGGUGUGAAUUGCAGAAUCCCGUGAACCAUCGAGUCUUUGAACGCAAGUUGCGCCUCAAGCCAUUAGGUUGAGGGCACGUCUGCCUGGGCGUCACAUAUCGUUGCCUGAUGCCAGUUUCCUCGUGAUGGGUGACUAUGCAGGGCGAAUGAUGGCUUCCCGUGAGCAUUGUUGCCUCAUGGUUGGUUGAAAAUUGAGUCCUUGGUAGGGAGCGCCGUGAUAGAUGGUGGUUGAGUGACGAACGAGACCCAAUCAUGUGAGACCCCUACCGAAUUUGGCCUUCAUGACCCACAUGCGUCUUUGGAACGCUCAUGACGAGACCUCAGGUCAGGCGGGGCUACCCGCUGAGUUUAAGCAUAUCAAUAAGCGGAGGA